rnacentral:rRNA from 1 species
UACAGAGGUCCCAAGCGUUGUUCGGAUUCACUGGGCGUAAAGGGUGCGCAGGUGGUCGGGUAAGUCUGAUGUGAAAUCCCGCAGCUUAACUGCGGAAUGGCAUUGGAUACUAUUCGGCUAGAGGGUUGGAGGGGGGACUGGAAUUCUCGGUGUAGCAGUGAAAUGCGUAGAUAUCGAGAGGAACACCAGUGGCGAAGGCGAGUCCCUGGACAACUCCUGACACUGAUGCACGAAAGCUAGGGGAGCAAACAGG